rnacentral:rRNA from 1 species
CUAAACAUCUAGCCCCCACCCCACCCACCUUCUUAAUAUAAACUAAAAUAUUCCCUCAGUCAAGUAAAGAAGAUUAAAAAACUUUUAAGAGCUAUAAAUUUGUACCGUAAGGGAAAGAUGAAAUAAAAAUGAAACAACCUCAAGCACCAAAAAGUAAAGAUUUACCCUUGUACCUUUUGCAUCAUGGUUUAGCUAGUCUAAUUAGGCAAAAGGACUUUAAGUCUAACCCCCCGAAACUAAGUGAGCUAAUUUAGGGCCGCUUAACGAGCCCACCCGUCUAUGUUGCAAAAUAGUGGGAAGACCCUAAAAUAGAAGUGACAGACCUAACGAACUUAGUGAUAGCUGGUUCCUCAAGAAAAGAAUAAAGUUCCACAUAAAAUAACAUUAACACACAUAGUUACUCCCACCAUUUUAAAGCAAUUCAAAUGAGGUACAGCCCAUUUGAAACAGGACUCAACCUUCACUGAAGGGUAACACUAGACCUCCCACCCAUAAGUAGGCCUAAUAGCAGCCAUCUUUUAAAAAGCGUCAUAGCUUAGCACUGUGCAUUCUAAUAAAUAACCUUAUAUCGACCCCUCUCAUAGUACUGAGGACCUCUAUAAACCCCUAUAGAGCCUUUUAUGCUAAAACUAGUAACAAGUGAACACCUCCCUCUUAAUGUAAGUAUAACCCAGCAAGAACCCGUCACUGGCAUCUAACAGAGUUAAAUAAUUGUAGCAACCUCACCAGAAAACCCUACUUUUUUCCCCGUUAACCUAACACCAGAACAUUUCAAGAAAGAUUUAAAGAAGGGGAAGGAAUUCGGCAAAAAAUAGCCCCGCCUGUUUACCAAAAACAUCGCCUCUUGAUCCCAUAAGAGGUCCAGCCUGCCCAGUGACUCUGUUCAACGGCCGCGGUAUCCUAACCGUGCGAAGGUAGCGUAAUCACUUGUCUUCUAAAUAAAGACUAGUAUGAAAGGCAUCACGAGAGCUAAACUGUCUCCCCCUUCCAAUCAGUGAACCUAAUCUCCCCGUGAAGAAGCGGGGAUUUAUAUAUAAGACGAGAAGACCCUAUGGAGCUUAAAACAUCAUAACACCUGCUUCCCCUCCCACCCCAUUCAGAUUUUUAACCCUGCACGCUGAUUAUAGAGUUUUUGGUUGGGGUGACCGCGGAGAAAAAUUUACCCUCCGCAAUGAGAGGAGCUCCCCCAGACACUAAGUUACCACUUUCCAUCUCAACAAAUUGACAUCCAUUGACCCAACAUUUGAUCAACGAACCAAGUUACCCUAGGGAUAACAGCGCAAUCCAUUUUGAGAGCUCCUAUCGACAAAUGGGCUUACGACCUCGAUGUUGGAUCGGGAUAUCCAAGUGGUGCAGCAGCUACUAAAGGUUCGUUUGUUCAACGAUUAAAAUCCCACGUGAUNUGAGUUCAGACCGGAGCAAUCCAGGUCAGUUUCUAUCUAUACAAGAGCUUUUUUCAGUACGAAAGGACCAAAAUAGCAUGGCCUAUGCCCCCAUCAAGCCAUUGUUAAUCCCCUUUGACCACCACUCAAAAAUUAUUAACCCUUCCCCCCCCCCAAGAAAAGAGCA